AUACGUAGGGGGCGAGCGUUGUCCGGAAUGACUGGGCGUAAAGGGCGUGUAGGCGGCCGAUUAAGUCUGGAGUGAAAGUCCCGCUUUCAAGGUGGGAAUUGCUUUGGAGACUGGUUGGCUUGAGUGCGGAAGAGGUAAGUGGAAUUCCCAGUGUAGCGGUGAAAUGCGUAGAGAUUGGGAGGAACACCAGUGGCGAAGGCGACUUACUGGGCCGUAACGGACGCAGAGGCGCGAAAGCGUGGGGAGCGAACAGGAUUAGAUACCCUGGUAGUCCACGCUGUAAACGAUGAAUGCUAGGUGUAGGGGGUAUCGACCCCUCCUGUGCCGGAGUAAACGCAAUAAGCAUUCCGCCUGGGGAGUACGGCCGCAAGGUUGAAACUCAAAUGAAUUGGCGGGG
rnacentral:rRNA from 1 species